rnacentral:rRNA from 1 species
UACGUAUGGAGCAAGCGUUAUCCGGAUUUACUGGGUGUAAAGGGAGCGUAGGCGGUGCUAUAAGUCUGAUGUGAAAGCCCGGGGCUCAACCGCGGGACUGCAUUGGAAACUGUAGGACUGGAGUGUCGGAGGGGUAAGUGGAAUUCCUAGUGUAGCGGUGAAAUGCGUAGAUAUUAGGAGGAACACCGGUGGCGAAGGCGGCUUACUGGACGACAACUGACGCUGAGGCUCGAAAGCGUGGGGAGCAAACAGG